AGAAAAGGAUUAGAAAAUCCAGCCGGCUGAUAAAAAUCACCUGCAUCGUGGCCAGCCCGUUGCGUGCGCCCCCUCCCCUCCCCCGGGCUGUCAGCCCGGCGCUCGGGAGGGCCAACGGAGUGUGUCCCCUGGUGGCAAGAUCAGAUCUCCGGUGUGCUGGCGACGACCCAGCUCUGUUGGGCUACUUUUCCUCUCCACCAACAUCCGCAGUGCCACCAAGCCGGCGUUGUUCUUUUUGGUCGAUAGGUGGAGAGGUUGAUCCCGAGCAGUGAUGAUUUUAUUUUUGCCUCCUCUGCUAGGAGGCAGAGGAACGGAGAGUGGCGGCAAGGGUAGCCGCCGGCGUGAUGACGAGAACCCUGGGGUGGACAUACGGGAGAUCGGGUGCUCGCGCGAAGCAUCCUGCAGCACGGUCGCCCACGAGCCCACCCGGAGCUGUCGCCCCUGUGAAGGGCGCCGCCCCGCUGCACUGGACAGGAAGUUGUCUGGAUAAUGAAAGGAUCGCUGGCUGAAUUCUUAUGAACGUAGGGGUGUUUCUGUAAAAACGAAUCGUUUUUGCAGAUUCACUUAAACAGGAACUGCGGGUUAAUUUAUAAGAAACGAAGGGACUUUUCUGUAAAAACAUGCGACAGACGACUAGAAGCCCAAUUUUCUUUAUUAUAUAUAUAUAUAUAUA